rnacentral:rRNA from 1 species
CCUACGGGUGGCUGCAGUGGGGAAUAUUGGACAAUGGGGGCAACCCUGAUGCAGCCAUGCCGCGUGUGUGAAGAAGGCCCUCGGGUUGUAAAGCACUUUCAGUGAGGAAGAACGCCUGGUGGUUAAUACCCAUCAGGAAAGACAUCACUCACAGAAGAAGCACCGGCUAACUCCGUGCCAGCAGCCGCGGUAAUACGGAGGGUGCGAGCGUUAAUCGGAAUUACUGGGCGUAAAGCGCGCGUAGGUGGCUUGAUAAGCCGGUUGUGAAAGCCCCGGGCUCAACCUGGGAACGGCAUCCGGAACUGUCAAGCUAGAGUGCAGGAGAGGAAGGUAGAAUUCCCGGUGUAGCGGUGAAAUGCGUAGAGAUCGGGAGGAAUACCAGUGGCGAAGGCGGCCUUCUGGACUGACACUGACACUGAGGUGCGAAAGCGUGGGUAGCAAACAGGAUUAGAUACCCCGGUAGUC